rnacentral:misc_RNA from 1 species
GUGAUACUGGCAGGUAGUGAAAUACUUGUAUUUAUGUUAUUGUCUUUAUGUAAAUAAUUUAGUCAAAUGGGUAAUUUCUAAACAUGAAACUUAACUAUUUGUAACUUUCAAUCCAUUGCUAGUGUGAAAUAUGCCAUUAUUGCUGUCGUAUAUUCCUUUUGACUUGCUAAUGAGUUAAAUAUCUUGAGAAUAAGCAUUUGCAUGCAUAUAGAAUUGGAUUUUCUUCAAUGAAGUUUAAUGGUUGGUGCCUGAGGAAACCCUUGGUGCCUGAGGAAACCUGACUUUAAUCUGCAACUAGCCUUUGUUAAUAUCUGCAGUAGAAAGCGAAGGAGAUAGGAAGGCCAAGAAGGUACAAAGCUAAUGAAAGCAACACAGAUGGAAUAAUAAGUUUAAACUUGAAAAGCAUUUUGGGUUUAGAUUGGUAGGUGGUUGUUGGAUGAUGAUGUUCACAAAAAUGAUGGAAGAGGUAAAAGGCUCUUACUGUCACUCAGCCUACCUCAUGUGGUUAGGGGCAUAGGGGAUUUGGGUAGAGAGUACACAUUUGAGCCAUAGUACCAAAAAGACAAAAACAAGGAAAAACUCUUGCUUGGAGGCAGAAUAGGGCACCCUGAAGAAGAUGCUAGUCACAAUAACAACAAUUCAAGUUCAAAAAGGAGUCGGAAGAAGAUCCAGGGGAGAUAAAACAUAGCUUAUUUAACUAUCAAAAUACAAAGCAUAGCUUCAAAGUCCAUCAAACAUUCAAACAUAAACCUCAUGUGAAAGCAAUUUAGCUUUGCCCCUCAACUGAUAGUUUACCUCCCUUCUCCCUAGGGAUUUAGCUUUUACAUUGUAAGGUAUAAAGGGAACUUUAAUUCAUGUCCCUGCAUGACCCUUAUCACUAGAUUUCACGUCAACACCUUCUUCCUAACUAAUCUCCAUAAUGCCAGGACUUGGAGCAAACAUCUUUCACUGCACCAGUGCAGAUGGAAGAGGGUGGCUACUUCUAGCUUCUGCCAGCAUUAGAUAAUGAGACCUAUGCAUCACUUCUAAUUUCUGAUAUUGUGAGGCCUCUUAAGGCAGUUUCUUGUUCCCUACUCCACACAGAAUGCUACCACAUGGAGCUUAAAUUAUCUCCUUUCAAUAUGAUUCUUUGAAAUCAUAAUAAUUGCAUAAGAAAUUUUUAUUUUCUGUUAUAUUUAUGGUAGUUUAUGCAUAAUGACAACUGAUAGCAGAAGAAGGAAAAAGGCUAUCCAAUAUGGUUCUUUUAAAUCAUUAUAAUUUCCUAAGAACUUUUUAGUUUCCAUUACAUUUAUAUUAGUUUAUGUAGAUUGACAACAGAAAGCAGAAGAAGAAAAAGGGGCUAUUUUGCUUCAUUUUCAACCUCUCGUGUCUGCUUAGUUCAUAUUCUUGUGCUGCCACUCUCUCUCUACUAUUGCUUCUUUAUUUUAUGCUUAGAUGCUAGUCCUUGGUGUUUGAUGUUAUAGAUCAUUUACAUUGCCUUUCUAUUAUUCUCGUAUUGAUUGCAGUGUUCAUCUAGUGGAACUGAAAGGUAGUGGCCAAUUGUAUGCGAUGAAGGCAAUGGAAAAAUCUAUGAUGCUGCACCGUAAUAAGGUUUGAAUAUCCCCAAAAGAAUUCUAGACAUUAUAACUUCCUUUUAUGCAAGUCAACUACACCACUGAUAUAUGCCUGCCUGAAACUCAUGACUUCAGCUUUUAUCUUUUUCACUUUCUUCUGUUUUUUACUUGUUCUUCUCUCUAUGCUUGCUAUAUGAAAUACACUUGAUAGAGGAUAUAUUUUCUUGGGAAAAUUACAAAGUCCCUCUAAGGUUACAAAUGAUGUACUAAAACCAUCCUGUGAAACUUGGAGAUUGAUUAAAGCUGACUGAAAUUUGAUUUUACGUUUUGUCACUAAUGACAAAAAGUGUAGAAAGUGGAAAACUAUAGAAUUAAUGAGUAAAUCAACUAAUUUACUAUAGAACUCCCUAAUGAGAAAAUAUGUAGAAAGUGGAUAUCUAUAGAUUUUCCCCUAAUAAGGUAAUAAAUCUUGACUGAGGACCAAUGACAUAAAGGUCAUUUAAAACUUUUCAUUUUAAUUACUAUACAGGUUCACCGAGCAUGCAUUGAAAGAGAAAUCAUUUCGCUUCUGGAUCAUCCUUUCCUUCUCACGCUAUACGCUUCCUUUCAGACUUCCACACAUGUUUGUCUGAUAACAGACUUUUGCCCUGGU